AUACUUACCUGGCAGGGGCGAUACCAUGAUCACCAAGGUGGUUUUCCCAGGGCGAGGCUUAUCCAUUGCACUCUGGAUGUCCUGACCCCUGCAAUUUCCCCAAGUGUGGGAAAUUUGACUGCACAAUUUGUGGUAGUAGGGGACUGUGUUCACACUGUCCCCUA